GGUCAAGUGACUAAGUGCAUGUGGUGGAUGCCUUGGCGAUUACAGGCGAAGAAGGACGUGAUAGCCUGCGAUAAGCUUCGGGGAGCUGGCAAAUUAGCUUUGAUCCGGAGAUUUCCGAAUGGGGAAACCCACCUCGCAAGAGGUAACGCAUGCUGAAUACAUAGGCAUGCGUGGCGAACCGGGUGAACUGAAACAUCUCAGUAGCUCGAGGAAAAGACAUCAACCGAGAUUCCGAAAGUAGUGGCGAGCGAAAUCGGAGUAGCCCUCGCGUUUUAGCAGUUUGCAUAUCAGAACGGAAUGGAAAGUCCGGCCAUAGCGGGUGAUAGCCCCGUAUGAGAAAUGUAGAUUGUGGAACUAGGCGCGAAUAGAGUAGGGCGGGACACGUGAAAUCCUGUCUGAAUAUGGGGGGACCAUCCUCCAAGGCUAAAUACUCGUAAUCGACCGAUAGUGAACAAGUACCGUGAGGGAAAGGCGAAAAGAACCCCGGGAGGGGAGUGA
rnacentral:ncRNA from 1 species